GAAUUGCAGACGCUAAGUCUGGACAAAAUUUAAGAAAUCCUUUGAAAUUUUAAAUUAUGGCGCUAUAAAGAUAACGCAAAAUGACGUCAAAAUAGCCACCAGGAAAAGUUAACUCUUUCCUGGAUAGGUAUGUUUAGUGGGACAAGACUGCCCUCUAUAGACCAAAUACCUAAAUUGCGAUCUGGAAGAUAACCACACCUCUAGUGCUUCUAUUGGGUUAUCAACUGAUGACGUACAGAGAGUCUGGCCCUUUAAAAGUUAAGACAAAGGGAAGAUAGAGAUAGACGAGAGGAGGCAGAUGCAGGAC